AAGCAGCACAGAAGAGGGGGAAGGGAGAUUUAGAUACAUUUUAUCUUUAUCUUUAGUUCUGAUAGGAUAUGGCUCACACAUCCCAAACCCUAACCCUGCUUAAUCUCCUUACUUGUGGGGAAUUCAGCUACAUCUAAAUGUUUAUGUGCUGCUGAUGGUGGCAGGGGACAUCUGUUUCAGAGGUGGAUCUGAUGGCUGGAGCCCCAGCAGCCACCGUGGACCUGGCAGUAACCCUGAAAAUGGAAACCAAGUACUGAGGAUGAUGGAAAAGAAAGUGCCUGAUAACUUCAUGGAAACACCGCAUCAUCUUUGGGCUGCCUCAUCCGGAAUUUUGUGUGAUGGAAGAGAUCAUUGUGUGUUUAAGCCACUAUUAUUUGGGUUUUCUAAUAUAUACAGCUAAUGCUAACCCUAACAGAAGAUAAAAUGAGCCUUUUUAGAUAAGUAUGUGUCCUGCACUGGACAGAGAGUUUCUAAGAAACAGAUAGAAGAUUCUCAAAAUUCCUAGCCAAUUGUCAAGGAGAAAAUGAAAUAACCAGUUAAUAGCUCUCUCAUCUCAGUUAUUUAGAACUGGCCAGGAUCAAGGUGUCACCAUUUAACUGGUAGCAGCUACCAGUGCUAGUACCAGCAAAGGUGACGUAGCAUCCUAGAAAAGUAAAAGCACUUUUUUUUUUGAGACAGAGUCUCGCUCUGUCGCCCAGGCUGGAGUGCAGUGGCACGAACUUGGCUCAUUGCAAGAUCUGCCUCCUGGGUUCACACCAUUCUCCUGCCUCAGCUUCCCAAGUAACUGAGACUACAGGCACCCGCCACUACACCUGGCUAAUUUUUUCUAUUUUUAGUAGAGACGGGGUUUCACUGUGUUAGCCGGGAUGGUCUCGAUCUCCUGACCUUGUGAUCCGCCCGCCUUGGCCUCCCAGAGUGCUGGGAUUACAGGCGUUAGCCACCGCGCCCAGCCAAGAGUGAAAGCAUUUUUAAAUUUUGCCUCUCCAGCUUCUUCUACUAACCAAAUUUCACAUGGUCAUUUACUAAUUAGACUCAAAGGAAACCAGCAGCUGCCUCACCAGAAGCUAAUAAAAUAUAAUGCAACUGUUCCCACUGAUUCUGGACUGGUUUGUCAAUCCAUUGACCAGGUGAGUCUGAACCAG
rnacentral:lncRNA from 10 species